rnacentral:rRNA from 1 species
CACGCAGGCGGACCAGUAAGUCUGUCGUCAAAGGCGGAGGCUCAACCUUCGUUCCACGAUAGAUACUGCGGGUCUAGAGUAUCGGAGAGGAAAGCGGAAUUCCUAGUGUAGCGGUGAAAUGCGUAGAUAUUAGGAGGAACACCAGUGGCGAAAGCGGCUUUCUGGACGACAACUGACGCUGAGGCGCGAAAGCCAGGGGAGCAAACGG